rnacentral:lncRNA from 1 species
ACUACAAAAAGCACCACAACAGACACUACAACAACAGAAAGCACCACCACAGGUACCUCAACACCAGAAAGUACAACAACUGAGACCACAACAAUAGAAAGCACCACAACAGAGACCAUAACUGCAGAAAGCACCACCACUGAUUCUACAACUCCAGAAAGCACAACAGUGUUAGAAAGUACAACCACUGACACCACUACUCCAGGAAGUACAACAACAGAGACCACAACAACAGAAAGUACCACCAUAACUGAGAUCACAACAAAAGAAGGCACCACCAUUACAGAAAGUAUUACCGCAGAGACCUCAACAGAAAGCACCACCACCAGUACCACAACUCCAGAAAGAACCACAAUGACAGAAAGUACAACCACUGGAACCACCACUUCAGAAAGUACAACAUCAGAAAGAUCUACAACAGAAAGUACCACAACCGACACUACAACAACAGAAAGCACCACCACAGGUACCACAAUACCAGAAAGCACAACAGCUGAGACCACAACAAUAGAAAGUAUCACCACAGGCACCACAACAGACACCAUAACAACAGAAAGCACCACCACUGGUUCUACAACUCCAGAAAGCACAACAGAGUUAGAAAGUACAACUACUGGCACUACUACUCCAGAACGUACAACAACGGAGACCACAACAACAGAAAGUACCACCCCCGGGACAACAACAGAGACCACAACAGUAGAAAGUACCACCACUGGUACCACAACAACAGAAGGCACCACCACUUCAGAAAGUACAACAACAGAAAGCACUACAACAGAAAGUACCACCCCUGGCAUUACAACUUCAGAAAGUACAACAAUGGAAACAACAACUACAAAAAGCAGCACAACAGACACUACAACAACAGAAAGCACCACCACAGGUACCACAACACCAGAAAGCACAACAACUGAGACCACAACAAUGGAAAGUACUAACUCAGGCACCACCACAGGCACCACAACAGACACCAUAACAACAGAAAGCACCACCACUGCUUCUACAACUCCAGAAAGCACAACAGUGUUAGAAAGUACAACCACUGGCACCACUACUCCAAAAAGUACAACAACAGAAAGCACUAGAACAGAAAGUACCACCCCUGGUAUUACAACUUCAGAAAGUACAACAAUGGAAACAACAACUACAGAAAGUACCACAACAGACACUACAACAACAGAAAGCACCACUACAGGUACCACAACACCAGAAAGCACAACAACCGAGACCACAACAAUAGAAAGUACCAUCACAGGCACUACAACAGACACCAUAACAACAGAAAGCACCACCACUGGUUCUACAACUGCAGAUAGCACAACAGAGUUAGAAAGUACAACCACUGGAACCACUACUCCAGAAAGUACAACAACGGAGACCACAACAAUAGAAAGUACCACCCCCGGGACAACAACAGAGACCACAACGAUAGAAAGUACCACUACUGGCACCGCAACAGAGAUCACAACAACAGAAGGCACCACCACUUCAGAAAGUACUACCACACAGACCACAACAUCAGAAAUACCCACCACUGGCACCACAAUACCAGAAAGCACAACUGAGACCACAACAACAGAAGGUAGGACAACAACAGAAAGUAUCACCAUCAGUACCACAACUCCAGAAAGUACAAGAAUGGAAACCACAACAACAGACAUGACAACAUCAGAAAGUACCACCGGUACCACAGCUCUAGAAAUUACAACAACAGAAAGCACCACAAUGGAUACUAAAACAACAGAAAGCACCACCAUCGGUACCACAACUACAGAAAGUACAACAGCAGACACUACAACAACAGAAAGUACAACAAGAGAAACCACCACAACAGAUACUACAACUACAGAAAGCACAACUGAAUCCACAACAACAGAAAGUACAUCAACAACAGAAACCACUACCAUUGGCACCACAACUCCAGAAAGUACAACAGUGGAAACCACAACAACAGACACUACAACAUCAGAAAGUACCACCACCGUUACCACAGCUCCAGAAAGUACAACAACAGAAGGCACCAUAACUGAAACAUCAACAAUGACAGAAAGUGCAACCACUGGUACCACAACUCCAGAAAGUACAACAGCAGACACUACAACAACAGAAAGCCCAACAACAGAUACUACAACUAAAGAAAGCACAACUGAAACCACAACAUCAGAAAGUACAACAAUAACAGAAAGUACAACAAAAGAGACAACAACAGCAGAAAGCACCACAACAACCGACAGCACCACAAUGGACACUACAACAACAGAAAGAACCACGACUCCAGAAAGCACCACAAUGGAGACCACCACAAAAGACAGUAAGACCACUGGCACCACAACUCCAGAAAGUAGUACCACAGAGACCACAACAACAGAAAGCACAACUGAAUCCACAACAACAGAAAGUACAUCAACAACAGAAAUCACUACCAUUGGUACCACAACUCCAGAAAGUACAAGAGUGGAAUCCACAACAAAGGACACUACAACAUCAGAAAGUACCACCACCGUUACCACAGCUCCAGAGAGUACAACAACAGACACUUCAACAACAAAAGAAAGCAGCACAACUGAAACAACAACAGAAACCACUACAAUGAUAGAAAGUACAACCACUGGUACCACAACUCCAGAAAGAACAACAGCAGACAUUACAACAACAGAAAGUACAACAACUGAAACCACAACAACAGGAAGCACCACAACAGAUAUUACAACUACAGAAAGCACAACAGAGACCACAACAGCAGAAAGCACCACAAUGGACACUACAACAACAGAAAGCACCACGACUCCAGAAAGCACCACAAUGGAGACCACCACAACAGAAAGUGCAACCACUGGCACCACGACUCCAGAAAGUACUACCACAGAGUCCACAACAACAGAAAGUACAACAACGGACAUUACGACAACAGAAAGUACCACCUCCGGUACCACCCCUCUAGAAAGUACAACAGCAGAGACCACAAUAACAACAGACAGCACCACAAUGGAUACUACAACAACAGAAAGCACCACCACUGGUACCACAACUUCAAAAAGUUCAACAGCAGAAACUUCAACAAAAACUGAAAGCAUCACAACCGAUACU